AAUAUAAUAUAAAGAAUCAUGGAUCCAAAUCUGCAUGCGACGGCUUCAAUGUUGAGAUAAAGUACAAACUGAUUAGGUCGUUGGUACGAACAAGUGAAAAUUUGGCACGAACUAUAGAAAUUUACCACUUAUUAUUUUAAUUCAUUAUAACAGAUUGUGUUUUUUUUGUACAGUAGUUAUUGUUGGUCGUUAUAUUAAAUUAUUUUAUAAAAUGUUUAUUGUAAAAAAUAUACUCAAAACACGUGUAAUCAGCUUACGAUCUUACAGUUCAAAGGUAACAUUAAAUGAUGUUGUAAUAGUUAGUGCAGUCAGAUCACCCAUAGGAUCAUUCCGUGGAAGCUUGUCAAGUUUGUCUGCACCAAAACUUGGUGCAUUAGCUAUACAAGCUGCAGUUGAACGUGCAAAAGUUUCCAAAGAGCAAGUCACAGAAGUGUAUAUGGGAAAUGUUUGUCAAGCUUCCUUGGGACAAGCACCAGCAAGACAAGCUACAUUAUUUGCAGGUCUACCUAAGUCAACCAUAUGUACAACAGUAAAUAAAGUAUGUGCAAGUGGAAUGAAAAGCAUUAUGCUUGCCUCUCAGUCCUUGCAGUGUGGACAUCAAGAGAUUAUAGUUGCUGGUGGUAUGGAAUCUAUGUCUAAUGUACCAUUUUACCUUCAACGAGGAGAAACUAAAUAUGGUGGAAUGAAACUUGAGGAUGGUAUUGUAUUUGAUGGUUUGACUGAUGUUUACAACAAAUGCCACAUGGGUAAUUGUGCAGAAAAUACUGCUAAAAAAUAUAAUGUUACUCGUAAUGAACAAGAUGAGUAUGCUAUUAAUAGCUACAAACGUAGUGCAGCAUCAUAUGAAAAUAAAAUAUUCAAAGAUGAACUUAUAUCUAUUAAUGUACCACAAAAGAAAGGCAAGGCUGAUCUAAUAAUUGAUGAAGAUGAAGAAUAUAAAAAAGUAGACUUUGCUAAGUUUGGUAAAUUAAAUACUGUUUUUCAGAAAGAAAAUGGCACAGUAACUGCAGGAAAUGCAUCAACCUUAAAUGAUGGAGCUGCUGCAUUAGUCUUAACUACUACAAAUGUUGCUGAGAAAAUGGACCUUAAACCCCUAGCGCGAAUCGUCGCAUUUGAAGAUGCUGCAACCGAUCCGAUCGAUUUCCCGAUUGCACCAUCUUUUGCUAUUCCUAAAUUACUAAAAAAGGCUGGAAUUAAUAAAAAUGAUAUAACGUUGUGGGAGAUUAACGAAGCUUUCAGUGUAGUUGUAAUUGCAAAUCAAAAACUUUUGGAUCUUGAUCCUAGUAAAGUAAACGCUCAUGGUGGUGCUGUAUCUCUUGGUCAUCCUAUCGGCAUGUCAGGAGCUCGCAUCGUCGUACACUUAAUUCAUGCUCUGAAGGCCGGGGAAAAAGGUGUCGCAUCUAUUUGUAACGGUGGCGGUGGCGCUUCUUCAAUUUUAAUUGAAAAGUUGUAAGUUUGUACCAACAGAUAUCUUUAAUACUCAAAAUUAUGGACAAAAUUAAGGUGGCACCCAAUUUCUACUCCACCGACAUUAACAUUAUACACAAAAUAUCCUUGUCCGCUUUGUGAUAUUUUAAAAGACGAAUUAGUAUUACG
rnacentral:misc_RNA from 1 species